AGAGGGAUAGCUGGGUCGAAUGGUGGUUCCAUUCCAAGUUUUCUAAGGAAUAUUCAUAUUGCUUUCCAUAGUGGUUGCACCACUUUGCAGUCCCACAAGCAAU
rnacentral:pre_miRNA from 1 species